rnacentral:tRNA from 1 species
CAGAUAUUAGUUUAUUAAAAUAUUAAUUUUGGAGAUUAAAGAUAAUUUUUUAUUAUAUCUGA